UACAGAGGGUGCAAGCGUUAAUCGGAAUUACUGGGCGUAAAGCGCUCGUAGGUGGUUUGUUAAGUUGACUGUGAAAUCCCGGGGCUCAACCUGGGAACUGCAUCCAAUACUGGCAAGCUAGAGUAUGGUAGAGGGUGGUGGAAUUUCCUGUGUAGCGGUGAAAUGCGUAGAUAUAGGAAGGAACACCAGUGGCGAAGGCGACCCCCUGGACUGUAACUGACACUGAGGUGCGAAAGCGUGGGGAGCAAACAGG
rnacentral:rRNA from 1 species